CGUGAACGCUGGCGGCAGGCCUAACACAUGCAAGUCGAACGGCAGCACAGGAGAGCUUGCUCUCUGGGUGGCGAGUGGCGGACGGGUGAGAAAUAUAUCGGAAUCUACCCUUUCGUGGGGGAUAACGUAGGGAAACUUACGCUAAUACCGCAUACGAACUGAGGUUGAAAGCGGCGGACCGCAAGGCGUCGCGCGGAUGGAUGAGCCGAUAUCCGAUUAGCUAGUUGGCGGGGUAAAGGCCCACCAAGGCGACGAUCGGUAGCUGGUCUGAGAGGAUGAUCAGCCACACUGGAACUGAGACACGGUCCAGACUCCUACGGGAGGCAGCAGUGGGGAAUAUUGGACAAUGGGCGCAAGCCUGAUCCAGCCAUGCCGCGUGUGUGAAGAAGGCCUUCGGGUUGUAAAGCACUUUUGUUGGGAAAGAAAAGCGGUCGGUUAAUACCCGGUCGUUCUGACGGUACCCAAAGAAUAAGCACCGGCUAACUUCGUGCCAGCAGCCGCCGCAGUAA
rnacentral:rRNA from 1 species